GACGAACGCUGGCGGCGUGCUUAACACAUGCAAGUCGAACGGAAAGGCCCAGCUUGCUGGGUGCUCGAGUGGCGAACGGGUGAGUAACACGUGGGUGAUCUGCCUCUAACUUCGGGAUAAGCUUGGGAAACUGGGUCUAAUACCGGAUAGGACAAUCGUUUAGUGUCGGUUGUGGAAAGUUUUUUCGGUUAGGGAUGAGCCCGCGGCCUAUCAGCUUGUUGGUGGGGUAAUGGCCUACCAAGGCGUCGACGGGUAGCCGGCCUGAGAGGGUGGACGGCCACAUUGGGACUGAGAUACGGCCCAGACUCCUACAGGAGGCAGCAGUGGGGAAUAUUGCACAAUGGGCGCAAGCCUGAUGCAGCGACGCCGCGUGGGGGAUGACGGCCUUCGGGUUGUAAACCUCUUUCGACAGGGACGAAGCUUUGGUGACGGUACCUGUAUAAGAAGCACCGGCUAACUACGUG
rnacentral:rRNA from 1 species